rnacentral:rRNA from 1 species
CCUACGGGAUGCAGCAGUGAGGAAUAUUGGUCAAUGGGCGGGAGCCUGAACCAGCCAAGUAGCGUGCAGGAUGACUGCCCUACGGGUUGUAAACUGCUUUUAUACGGGAAUCACGCGCCUUACGUGUGCGUCUUUGCAUGUACCCUAUGAAUAAGGACCGGCUAAUUCCGUGCCAGCAGCCGCGGUAAUACGGAGGAUGCGAGCUUUAUCCGGAUUUAUUGGGUUUAAGGGGUUCGCAGGGGGGGGAUAAAGUCAGCGUUAAACUGUGGGGUCUCAACCCCGGCCGGCCGUUGAAACUGGUAUUCUAGAGUACGAGAGAAGUAGGCGGAAUUCGUGGUGUAGCGGUGAAAUGCAUAGAUAUCACGAAGAACUCCGAUUGCGAAGGCAGCAUACCGGAUUCAAACUGACGCUGAGGCACGAAAGCGUGGGGAUCGAACAGGAUUAGAUACCCCAGUAGUC